UACGUAGGUGGCAAGCGUUGUCCGGAUUUACUGGGCGUAAAGGGCGUGCAGGCGGUUUGUUAAGUGCAGAGUGAAAGCUCCCGGCUCAACUGGGAGAGGUCUUUGCAUACUGGCAAACUCGAGGGAGGCAGAGGAAAGUGGAAUUCCCGGUGUAGUGGUGAUAUGCGUAGAUAUCGGGAGGAACACCUGUGGCGAAGGCGGCUUUCUGGGCCUUACCUGACGCUGAGGCGCGAAAGCGUGGGGAGCAAACAGG
rnacentral:rRNA from 1 species